UGGGGAAUUUUGGACAAUGGGGGCAACCCUGAUCCAGCAAUGCCGCGUGAGUGAAGAAGGCCUUCGGGUUGUAAAGCUCUUUCGGCCGGGACGAAAUCGCUCUGGUGAAUAUCCAGGGUGGAUGACGGUACCGGAAUAAGAAGCACCGGCUAACUACGUGCCAGCAGCCGCGGUAAUACGUAGGGUGCGAGCGUUAAUCGGAAUUACUGGGCGUAAAGCGUGCGCAGGCGGUUUUGUAAGUCAGACGUGAAAGCCCCGGGCUUAACCUGGGAAUUGCGUUUGAAACUGCAAGGCUAGAGUACGGCAGAGGGGGGUAGAAUUCCACGUGUAGCAGUGAAAUGCGUAGAUAUGUGGAGGAAUACCGAUGGCGAAGGCAGCCCCCUGGGCUAGUACUGACGCU
rnacentral:rRNA from 1 species